UACGUAGGGUGCAAGCGUUAAUCGGAAUUACUGGGCGUAAAGCGUGCGCAGGCGGUUUUGUAAGUCUGCCGGGAAAGCCCCGGGCUCAACCUGGGAAUUGCGAUGGAGACUGCAAGGCUUGAAUCUGGCAGAGGGGGGUAGAAUUCCACGUGUAGCAGUGAAAUGCGUAGAGAUGUGGAGGAACACCGAUGGCGAAGGCAGCCCCCUGGGUCAAGAUUGACGCUCAUGCACGAAAGCGUGGGGAGCAAACAGG
rnacentral:rRNA from 1 species